rnacentral:rRNA from 1 species
UUGAACUCCAAUCAAGGAAGAACUACCCGCUGAACUUAAGCAUAUCCAUAACCCGAGGAAAA